GUUGGCGUCGCUUGCGGCUCCUCUGCCUCACAACUAUUCGAAAAAAGCUGCCCAGCUUUGUGCUGAAUGCUAGCCGAGUUUCCAAGUCUCCCCAAAGCCUCGGAGACGCGUCGAUUCCAUCAAAAGAAACAAAAAAAUAUUGCAGUUAGUCGUUGUUGUUUACCCGUAUUCCGAUUACACAUAAAAAUGAAUGAAAUUAAAAAUAUAUAUUAAGAGGCACACGCUUCUGGAGAGUGUGUGAUGAUAAAGGUUCAAAGGCUCUCCAAACCCAAACCAAACCAUGGUGAUCUGGAAAAGGUCAAUUGUCCCUUUCCACGUCUGUAUCAAAAAUAAAUGUGUGCGGAGAAGGGGCCGAAUAAGACAGAGCGAUUAAGGCCUGUAAAUAUAUACACGUAGGAAGUAGUGCAUCUAUCCAGCAUGAAGUUCCCUCUAUUAUAUUCCGCACUGGGUCCAGUGCCGCUGAGCAUCGCGCCCUGGCAAAUAAAUACUGUGAAUCGGUGUCACAGCGACACCAAGUGGAACAACUGCAGCUCCAUUGGCAGAAAUCGUCCCAAUUUUCUCUUGCCUCCACAGCCUUAAACAAAUAUACACAUCAGGCCAAAAUUCAGCACAAGUUUCAGAAUUUAAAAUGGUCUUACAGGCCUUUCAUGUUGACUGAGGAUAUAGACAAGAGAACUUGCCCCUUUCUCCCCCAAAUCCUGAAGUCAGAUUUAACUCCAGUCCUCGGUGUAGAUUUACUGUGAACACUUGCAAUUAUUUUUGGAUGAGCAUACCGCUCUAAAAAAUACUGUGCCUCGAGAUCAACGAUAAAAUCAGCUGUCCGGUUGCCUAGUCGAAUGAGACCGAAUCUGUGACGAUUUUUUGUUGUUAAAAUUCUGGUCAAUGUUUUGUUGCAAAAAUCGGGAUUUCAGAUUAAAUAGUAAAUCUGAUAGUGAAUUAUUCAAAGAUAUACGCAAUCGGUCUUCAAUGUGAAUCAAAACGACCAACAAGAUCCAACCGAGAGACUGAAAUGAGCAUGAAAACUUCCGAGGCUGCGUAAAAAUCACCUGAAGAAGAUAAUUUUAGUCUUGAUAGACAUAAAAUGCUGGAGUAACUCAGCGGGACAGGCAGCAUCUCUGGAGAGAAGGAAUGGGUGACGUUUCAGGUCGAGACCCUUCUUCAGACUGGCAUUGGUAACAAGUUAACUCCAGGCUGGUGAAAAUUCACAUUCUAAAAAUCCCCGGAUAAUAUACUGAAUCUGCUGGGAACAUUAUAAAGAUCUCCUUUCCCAAGAGAAGGCCUGAAAUUUGCCUGUAGGCUCUUAACAUUAAACAUUAACCUCACAAGUUUAGAGUUCUGUUUGUGCGUUCAAGCACAGCUCCUUUGUCGCUAACCUCAAUGUAACUCACGGAGAAGUCGUGGUACAAAGCCACUCCGCUUCACCGAGGGUCACACCUUCAAGCUGAUCAGACUUUUGCUCCUUCCGCUUUGCAUAAAUUGUAGAACUUUCUUGUAGGCAAUUUACUAAACUUCAUUAAAGUUUAUAAUCGGCCCAGGUUAUGUUGUUGAAACAACGAGCGGCGCUCGCAGGUAUUUGAACUUACAAGGUGGAGCAAAUUAGGACAUGGGACCGGUAUACAAUUAACUUGCCAUCACAGUUCUGCUGCACUGCCACACAGCCCUUUUUUAUGAGGGAAAUUCGUUGAAAUGUUUGCGAUAUUGGUGUGUUCGCACAAUUAAAUUUGUAAAAGAACAAGUCACCGGAACUGGAGCAUUGAUAAACACUUUCAAAACUGUGAUAAAUAAAAUUAGUACCUUGUCUCUUAAAAUACAGACUCAUUGUAUAUUUUUUUAAAGUGUCGUUAAUGGGAUAAUGGGAUAAGCGUUGAGAUUACUGUUUAAAUAAAUACAUUUCUUUUGACUA